GUGGGGAAUAUUGGACAAUGGGCGAAAGCCUGAUCCAGCAAUGCCGCGUGAGUGAUGAAGGCCUUAGGGUUGUAAAGCUCUUUUACCCGGGAUGAUAAUGACAGUACCGGGAGAAUAAGCUCCGGCUAACUCCGUGCCAGCAGCCGCGGUAAUACGGAGGGAGCUAGCGUUGUUCGGCAUUACUGGGCGUAAAGCGCACGUAUGCGGCUUUGUAAGUUAGAGGUGAAAGCCUGGAGCUUAACGCCAGAACUGCCGUUAAGAGUGCAUCGCUUGAAGCCAGGAGAGGUGAGUGGAAUUCCGAGUGUAGAGGUGAAAUUCGUAGAUAUUCGGAAGAACACCAGUGGCGAAGGCGGCUCACUGGACUGGUAUUGACGCUGAGGUGCGAAAGCGUGGGGAGCAAACAGGAUUAGAUACCCUAGUAGUCC
rnacentral:rRNA from 1 species